rnacentral:sRNA from 1 species
UUCAAAGUAGAAGGAGACGAUACUACAGA